rnacentral:rRNA from 1 species
AGAGUUUGAUCCUGGCUCAGGAUGAACGCUGGCGGCGUGCCUAACACAUGCAAGUCGAACGAAAAGGUCCCUUCGGGGAUACUUCAGUGGCGGACGGGUGAGUAACACGUAGGUGACCUGCCCCGAAGUGUGGAAUAACAGUCCGAAAGGAUUGCUAAUACCGCAUGUGGUCUGUGAGGUUAGAGUCUUGCAGACUAAAGCAGUAAUGCGCUUCGGGAGGGGCCUGCGCCCCAUCAGCUAGUUGGUAGGGUAAUGGCCUACCAAGGCAACAACGGGUAGGGGGCCUGAGAGGGUGACCCCCCACAUUGGCACUGACACACGGGCCAAACUCCUACGGGAGGCAGCAGUGAGGAAUAUUGCUCAAUGGGCGAAAGCCUGAAGCAGCAACGCCGCGUGCGCGAUGAAGGCCUUCGGGUCGUAAAGCGCUUUUGAGGGGGACGAGAUAGGACGGUACCUCUCGAAUAAGUCACGGCUAACUACGUGCCAGCAGCCGCGGUAAAACGUAGGUGGCAAGCGUUAUCCGGAUUCACUGGGCGUAAAGCGCGUGCAGGUGGCUUCGUAAGUUGGACGUUAAAUCUCCCGGCCUAACCGGGAGGAGUCGUUCAAUACUGCGGGGCUGGAGGGCAGAAGAGGGGGGUGGAAUUGCUGGUGUAGCGGUGAAAUGCGUAGAUAUCAGCAGGAACACCCGUGGCGAAAGCGGCCCCCUGGUCUGCUCCUGACACUCAGACGCGAAAGCUAGGGGAGUGAACGGGAUUAGAAACCCCGGUAAUCCUAGCCGUAAACGAUGGAUGCUAGGUGUGGGUGGUAUUGACCCCAUCCGUGCCGAAGCCAACGCGUUAAGCAUCCCGCCUGGGGACUACGGCCGCAAGGUUAAAACUCAAA